rnacentral:rRNA from 1 species
UACGUAGGGGGCAAGCGUUAUCCGGAUUUACUGGGUGUAAAGGGAGCGCAGACGGCAGUGCAAGUCUGGAGUGAAAGCCCGGGGCCCAACCCCGGAACUGCUCUGGAAACUGUGCGGCUAGAGUACUGGAGGGGCAGGCGGAAUUCCUAGUGUAGCGGUGAAAUGCGUAGAUAUUAGGAGGAACACCAGUGGCGAAAGCGGCUCUCUGGUCUGUAACUGACGCUGAGGUUCGAAAGCGUGGGUAGCAAACAGG